rnacentral:tRNA from 1 species
GUGGAUGUAGUUUAGCCUGGCUAGAACACUGCUCUCAUAAGGCAGAUAUCGGCGGUUCAAAUCCGCCCAUCCACA